AGCCGAAACGCCUGUAUAGGCGUCCACCGGAACUGCCCCACCGGUGCUGAUGAUGGCAGGGCAGA
rnacentral:hammerhead_ribozyme from 1 species